rnacentral:rRNA from 1 species
CAGUAGCCGCGGGAAUACGUAGGUGGCAAGCGUUGUCCGGAAUUAUUGGGCGUAAAGGGCUCGCAGGCGGUUUCUUAAGUCUGAUGUGAAAGCCCCCGGCUCAACCGGGGAGGGUCAUUGGAAACUGGGAAACUUGAGUGCAGAAGAGGAGAGCGGAAUUCCACGUGUAGCGGUGAAAUGCGUAGAGAUGUGGAGGAACACCAGGGGCGAAGGCGACUCUCUGGUCUGUAACUGACGCUGAGGAGCGAAAGCGUGGGGAGCGAACAGGAUUAGAUACCCGUGUAGUCCCUGUCUCUUAUAC